UACGAAGGGUGCAAGCGUUACUCGGAAUUACUGGGCGUAAAGCGCGCGCAGGCGGUCCUUUAAGUCUGAUGUGAAAGCCCACGGCUCAACCGUGGAGGGUCAUUGGAAACUGGGGGACUUGAGUGCAGGAGAGAAGAGUGGAAUUCCACGUGUAGCGGUGAAAUGCGUAGAGAUGUGGAGGAACACCAGUGGCGAAGGCGGGUCUCUGGGCAACAACUGACGCUGAGGAGCGAAAGCGUGGGGAGCGAACAGG
rnacentral:rRNA from 1 species